rnacentral:lncRNA from 1 species
UAUGAAGAAAUGUGUUACAGUUUUGUUGGCAGUGGCACCAGAACCUAUCCUGCAUUAAAUGGCUUUUGGAGUCCAUUCCCUAUGGGUCUAGGAGACUCUGAGUUGUUCUGGGAUAUUUGGCAUUUUUUGCCAUCCAUGUUGCAGUGAGCGCAGCAAGAGAGGCAUAUCUGGAUCAUUGAGGCUCAACCGUCCACUGAUUCCAGAGAGGAUCCCAAUGGCCUGUGAAGAUAAGUUCACAAAAAUGAUUCCGAGAGAUGAACCUGGAUCCUUUGUUCCCUGGAACACACCUGUGUGAGCUAUAUGCAAGCUUCUGAAGGGACUGGAUCAGCUCCACUGCAGAAGGCACUACCUGGUCUGUCUGCUGGAAGGAAGAUGCUAACUAUGAAAGCCAGAUUUUCACAGCCAGGAAUCAUCUACAGCAUUGUUUAACAUGGAAGUUCUGUUUCUGGGUACAUUAGCAUACCUAAGC